AUGGCUAUAGUGCAGAGCAAUACCAUCACUGGGCACUAUGAAUUCAAGACUGAAGAAUUAACAGCCACCCCUAAGACGGAGAACCAGGUGGAGAGUCGACUCUUUCUGGAUGUUGUAAUCAGAAAGAGUGCGGCCAUCUUCCAGCUGCUUGCCGGCAAAGAUAAGCCUCUGCUGGUCAGGGGGGAUGCCCUCUUUAUCUUGGAUCUUGGCCUUCACGUUUUCGAUGGUGUCACUGGGCUCCACCUCCAGGGUGAUGGUCUUGCCGGUCAGGGUCUUCACGAAGAUCUGCAUUUUGACCUAGAUUUUAAAAAGACAAUGUUUGUAUACCAUCUCAAGAUCUUUGUAUUACCAGGGCGCCUAGGUGGCUCAGUGGGUUUAGCGUCUGACUCUGUGUCUGCUCAGGUCAUGAUAUGGACGCCCCGAGUCAGGCUCUGCGCUGAGCAUGGAGCCGGCUUGGGAUUCUCGCUCUCUCCCCUACUUCUAAAAUAAAUGAAUCCUUAAAAAACACCUACAGAUAUAACCAAUUCUCCAAAGCUAACUAUUUCAUCUUCCAAGUGCUUUAACCACAUUAACGUCGCUCACAACCCCCUCCUUUACUAGUCUUCUUAAAUUAGCUGCCGAAAACAAUUUUUAGUCAAGGCUUCAACUUAAAAACGGGAAGGCCCCUAAAAAAGGAAAGAACCCCAAAGGUUAAUAUCCAGAAUCUUAACUACUCUAGACCCUUCGCUAAAUCGUCUUCCCCCACACCCCCGACAUAUUCCCAAAACCUGAGUUAAUACGUAAGAUUGGGGGGGGGAACCCACGAAACUGGGUGAUGGAAACUGCUGUUUGAACAAAAAUGAGGUGGGACCCUUUCACCGCAUUGGGAUUCAAAAUCCAGACAGUUUUGGGAAUCACACUAGACUACCUCCUUUCCGCCUUCCCCCGCUGAAGCAGAUGCGAUGGAAUCUCCAUUGGUUGAGCGUCGGUUGGUCUCUGCCGGCGCGCGCGCCAACCGCCCCCGCUCCCUACACGUAAACAAGGCCCACUCUUCCGGAAAGGCCCGGCGCCGCAGCGCAGCGUCACCUCGCCCUCCCCUCCCCCAACCCCCUUCCCUGAGGGGCCCCUCCCGACCCCCGAAUCCGCCAGCCUGGGCUCACUCAGGGCCCCUCUCCACUCCUCCUCGGUCUCGAAGGCUGCCAGCCAGUACCUGUUAGCGAACGCAAAGACACUGGACGCAAUCACGUCGAGUCACCCAGGCCGCAACAGACCGACAACCUACAACGCCAGCCGCUCCUGAACGCCCGCGGCUCCGCGGGGCUGAAAUUUAUGCGGCGUCUGUUGCGUCACUCAUCACUGCCCACGUAGCCGCCGUGUCCGUACGCUGCUGAAAGUAGUUCCGUCGGCCCCACCUCCCGCGGCUCAAUUAGACCCUGCCACUGAGCCCCAAGUUCCUCAGAGCCGAAGAAAGAACCCUAAAAAAUCAGCUCCCCUCUUUUCCAGGCGACUCGUCUCCUCCCUUAAGAAAAAGUAGGAAUAAUAUCUGGCGGAUGGAUUUGAGUUAAGGGGUCCUCCCUCGAAAGCUCUCGAAACUUCCUUGCGGCGCCGGCGCUGAUUGGUGAAGCGUAUGAAGGCGAGGCCGGCGCUGAUUGGCGGGAGACGCGGCGCCUCGGUUGUUGCUGGGCUCCCAGCUGAGGUGGUUUAGCGCCGACGUUGCUAAGUAACUCAGUGCGCGUGCGCCACAGAGGCGCGCCUUUGCGAAAAGGGUGCUUCCGGCCGGAGAGGGAGGAGGGGUCCUUUGCUCCCGCCUCCGAAGUCCCAACCCCCACUUAAUUCUUAGGUUUUUCCGGCUUUACGUGAGGAUAAACGGUCCUCCGCGGCGACUUUCCCGGGAAGGCCGUCCCGGUUCUGGUUCGGAGGCGCUCAGCGGCGCGGCCCGCUGCUGGUUUUUUUGUUAAUGUCUGCUGUGGAAGCACAACCUGCCCCCACCCCCAUCUUAACGCGAACCGUACUGGCUGGUUUUAUUUUUGCACUAGCUUAUAGCAGGGUGAAGGAGCUUUAAUGACACUUUUUUUUAAAGAGUCAGAAUGCUUUUGUCCUCGAUUCCCACAAGGGCUCCGAGGAGAGUCUGUAAGCUAGACGCUGGUGGCGGGACCGUGGCGGGGGGGGAGGGGGCGGCGGUGCUCGGCCUCCCCCGGCGGAGGCCCAGAGAGGCGAGGCUCGGGCUCCCGGUGACAACGGUGGCGGGCUGAGGUCUGGCUCCGGCGAAACCUGCAGUCUCUUCCCCACCUUGUGGUUUCACCGAACUCUGGUUGGGGAAAAAGAGAGCUGCGGAUGGGGCAGCCGAAAACCCGCUUCGGGGGACGUGGAAUUCGUGUACAAGAAAAUAGUGUUUCUCCCGUAAACGUGUUUGUCGUUCAAGCGACAGUAAAGGAGGAGUUUCCCAGCUACGACCCCUCUGGCUGGUUUCCCUACGCCCUGGGUGUGGCCCCAUGUCCCGCAAGGAGAUAACCCGAGGAACGUGAGUAAGGCAGGGGCAUUGGGAUCUCGGUGACACGUGGCCAGAGUCUGAGUCAUUGAGCCGGGGGUGUAAAUAAACAUGCAGGGCUGUUUGUGGCGUAAUACCAACCUUCCUAAGUAAGGAGUAGUCUGAAGAUUUGCACGUUAAUGCCAAUCGGCUACAUACCACUUAGAAAAGGUCGUUAGUCAUUAAAAUAUAGCAUUUCUAAGCAUUAUAUGCCAAAACGAUGUCAAUGACUUUACGGUAUAGAUAGGUAUAUGAUGCGUUAACAAAGCUUAAGUUAGAUGAGCUAAAACUUGGUAAGAUCGAUUUACUUGAAUAACAGAUAAAAAUUAAAAAGUUUCUUUAAGAUCAUUUUGGACUUGGAGGUCGCUGACGAAAGGUUUCUUUUUCACAAAGUAUGAAUUUAAAUUUUUGUUAGACUAACAAUGAGUCUGAGCUUGUGUCACCAGUUAACAGCUUCUCCUGAGUCACAGAGGUUGCGUGGCAGAAUAAUCUAGAAUGGAGAUCUCCUGACGUAUAGGAUGACUUCAUUCCGGGCUUCUAGCGAUUGCCAGAACCAAUUUAGUCAUACAGCAUCCUGGUUUAAUGGUUUCCCAAAGUGGGACGUUUGGUAACCUGAACAAAGCAAAAUGUUUUCACAAGGAAGACAAGCGCUGUCCUUGUAAAACAAGGUGAAUUUUUUAUGGUCUGUUUAUCAAGUAAACAUCUAGUAAUAAGGUCAUUUCUGGUAGCAAAUUGUAAAAGAUAAUUUGUAAACAAAUUAGAGAAUAGGAUGACAAAAUCCUUCUCCAAAGACCGGGAAUUUGAUAAUUUAGCAUAAUACUUGGC
ensembl:lncRNA